GUGCCCCCUUCAGCAGCACAUGUGGUAAAAUUGGAAAAAUACACACAAGAUUAGCAUGGCCCUUCUGUAAGCAUGACAGGCAAACUUGUGAAGUGUUCCAUAUUUUU